GGGGCUGUAGCUCAGUGGUAGAGCACUUGCCUAGCAUGUGGGAGAUACUGGAUUCGAUCCUCAGCACCA
rnacentral:tRNA from 1 species